rnacentral:lncRNA from 1 species
UUGAUCUGAGGUCGUUUGAGGUGCGGGUGAGAUCUCCAUCAACAGAUCUACAGGAAAGGCUGCAGCAGGACAGAUCUGCAAGGUCUGGUUCUAUCUACCUUCUUCCCUAUCUAGAAUACCCUGAUUCAAGAUCUACAAAUUAGAAGACCUCGGUCCAGGCUUGAUCUAGGUGGAUACCAGAUCUUGGAUUUUUUAGAGGUGAUCUUAGAGGCAUUCUUCAUCUGGAACGAAAGGCUGACGAAGAAGACAGCAACCAGGCUGAUUUCGUCAAGGGCCUUCGAUCGAGUCCAGAAGUCUCCAGAUUUGUUUGUUGCUGGUUUCACUGCACCCAA